rnacentral:rRNA from 1 species
CCUACGGGAGGCAGCAGUGGGGGAUAUUGCACAAUGGGGGAAACCCUGAUGCAGCGACGCCGCGUGUGGGAAGACUGUCCUCUGGAUUGUAAACCACUGUCCCCAGGGACGAAGAUGACGGUACCUGGGGAGGAAGCACCGGCUAACUACGUGCCAGCAGCCGCGGUACUACGUAGGGAGCGAGCGUUGUCCGGAAUUACUGGGUGUAAAGGGAGCGUAGGCGGGACUGCAAGUUGGGUGUCAAGUCUACCGGCUCAACCGGUAGCCGCACUCAAAACUGCAGUUCUUGAGUGAAGUAGAGGCAGGCGGAAUUCCUGGUGUAGCGGUGAAAUGCGUAGAUAUUAGGAGGAACACCAGUGGCGAAGGCGGCCUGCUGGGCUUUUACUGACGCUGAGGCUCGAAAGUGUGGGGAGCAAACAGGAUUAGAUACCCCUGUAGUC